AUUGAACGCUGGCGGCAGGCUUAACACAUGCAAGUCGAGCGGAGAUGAGGUGCUUGCACCUUAUCUUAGCGGCGGACGGGUGAGUAAUGCUUAGGAAUCUGCCUAUUAGUGGGGGACAACAUUCCGAAAGGAAUGCUAAUACCGCAUACGCCCUACGGGGGAAAGCAGGGGAUCUUCGGACCUUGCGCUAAUAGAUGAGCCUCGGUCGGAUUAGCUAGUUGGUGGGGUAAAGGCCUAACAAGGCGACGAUCUGUAGCGGGUCUGAGAGGAUGAUCCGCCACACUGGGACUGAGACACGGCCCAGACUCCUACGGGAGGCAGCAGUGGGGAAUAUUGGACAAUGGGCGGAAGCCUGAUCCAGCCAUGCCGCGUGUGUGAAGAAGGCCUUUUGGUUGUAAAGCACUUUAAGCGAGGAGGAGGCUACCUGGAUUAAUACUCUAGGAUAGUGGACGUUACUCGCAGAAUAAGCACCGGCUAACUCUGUGCCAGCCGCCGCCGUAACAC
rnacentral:rRNA from 1 species